UACGUAGGGUGCGAGCGUUAAUCGGAAUUACUGGGCGUAAAGGGCGCGUAGGCGGCUUGGUCAGUCCCGUGUGAAAUCCCUCGGCUCAACUGAGGAACUGCACGGGAAACUGCCUGGCUUGAGUUCGGGAGAGGGAAGCGGAAUUCCGGGUGUAGCGGUGAAAUGCGUAGAUAUCCGGAGGAACACCGGUGGCGAAGGCGGAUCUCUGGGCCUUACCUGACGCUGAGGCGCGAAAGCUAGGG
rnacentral:rRNA from 1 species